rnacentral:lncRNA from 1 species
UGGCUUUUAUAGCCAAUAUUACAACUUUUAGUUUCUGUCUUUUUUGUUUUUUUCUUGGUUGUUCUGUUCUUUGUUGUCUUUUCUUGCUCUUUUUUUUUUCUUUUUUGCUGUUGCGUGUUGCAGGUGGUGGUAGCAGUGCACGUGGAGAGGGUUUCAUCAUAUUUUUUUUUGAAAGUUAAGGUUGUGGGCUAAAUGGGCUUGAGGAUUUUUUUUAUUAUUGGGCUGUUUGGGCUCAUUUUGUAAUUGGAUUUUUGUUUUUUUGGUUUUAUAUUUUGUAUGUUCUGGGUUUGUUGGCCUGGACAAAUUUGGGCUUUUACACUUACCAUGGCUAACACCUACCAAUAUUUGUCUCAUUUGCAUUUUUGUACUAAGCUUUGCUAUAAUUAUAUUCUAUCACAAAGUUUUGAUAUUAGUUUUCAG